rnacentral:misc_RNA from 1 species
UUCAAGUUUCAGCUGGUGAUGAGGGGUGCCUAGGUAACUCGUAGUUAAAGGCGCCUCGCCUGCGGGCAUCCUAGUCAAGGUGCCUAGAUUUCGUCUUGCUUGGGUGCCUCUUGACAGAUACAUACCGCCAUGAUGUGCAACCUAUUCAGUUCAUGCUUCGACAUGCAUUUUUGUAUAUUAUUGUAUUUUUCAUUAUCCUUUCUAGGAAGUUCCAAG